rnacentral:rRNA from 1 species
CACCUGCCUGGGCAUCUGGGUGGGUUAAAAGCUCCGGCGGUGAAGGAUGAGCCCGCGGCCUAUCAGCUUGUUGGUGAGGUAGUGGCUCACCAAGGCGACGACGGGUAGCCGGCCUGAGAGGGCGACCGGCCACACUGGGACUGAGACACGGCCCAGACUCCUACGGGAGGCAGCAGUGGGGAAUAUUGCACAAUGGGCGAAAGCCUGAUGCAGCGACGCCGCGUGAGGGAUGACGGCCUUCGGGUUGUAAACCUCUUUCAGCAGGGAAGAAGCGAGAGUGACGGUACCUGCAGAAGAAGCGCCGGCUAACUACGUGCCAGCAGCCGCGGUAAUACGUAGGGCGCAAGCGUUGUCCGGAAUUAUUGGGCGUAAAGAGCUCGUAGGCGGCUUGUCACGUCGGGUGUGAAAGCCCGGGGCUUAACCCCGGGUCUGCAUUCGAUACGGGCUAGCUAGAGUGUGGUAGGGGAGAUCGGAAUUCCUGGUGUAGCGGUGAAAUGCGCAGAUAUCAGGAGGAACACCGGUGGCGAAGGCGGAUCUCUGGGCCAUUACUGACGCUGAGGAGCGAAAGCGUGGGGAGCGAACAGGAUUAGAUACCCUGGUAGUCCACGCCGUAAACGGUGGGAACUAGGUGUUGGCGACAUUCCACGUCGUCGGUGCCGCAGCUAACGCAUUAAGUUCCCCGCCUGGGG